rnacentral:rRNA from 1 species
GGAGUUAGCCGGUGCUUCUUCUGCGAGUAACGUCACAGAUGUAAGGUAUUAACUUACACCCUUUCCUCCUCGCUGAAAGUGCUUUACAACCCGAAGGCCUUCUUCACACACGCGGCAUGGCUGCAUCAGGGUUUCCCCCAUUGUGCAAUAUUCCCCACUGCUGCCUCCCGUAGGAGUCUGGGCCGUGUCUCAGUCCCAGUGUGGCUGAUCAUCCUCUCAGACCAGCUAGGGAUCGUCGCCUAGGUGAGCCUUUACCUCACCUACUAGCUAAUCCCACCUGGGCUUAUCCAUCAGCGCAAGGCCCGAAGGUCCCCUGCUUUCCCCCGGUAGGGCGUAUGCGGUAUUAGCAGUCGUUUCCAACUGUUAUCCCCCACAAAUGGGCAAAUUCCCAGGCAUUACUCACCCGUCCGCCGCUCGUCAUCUUCAAAACGCAAGCUUUUAGAAAUGUUACCGCUCGACUUGCAUGUGUUAGGCCUGCCGCCAGCGUUCAAUCUGAGCCAUGAUCAAACUCUGA